rnacentral:rRNA from 1 species
AACAUGACUCUCAGCAACAGAUAUCUCGACUCUCACCAUGAUGAAGAAUGUAGUGAAAUGCGAUACUUGGUGUGAAUUGUAGAAUCCCAUGAAUCAUUGAGUCUUUGAACAUAAGUUGCACCCGAGGGUUCAGCCGAGGGCACAUCUGCCUGGGUGAUGCAC